rnacentral:rRNA from 1 species
GGCAGCAGUGAGGAAUAUUGGACAAUGGGCGCAAGCCUGAUCCAGCCAUGCCGCGUGCAGGAUGACGGUCCUAUGGAUUGUAAACUGCUUUUAUACAGGAAGAAACCCUACCACGUGUGGUAGAUUGACGGUACUGUAGGAAUAAGGAUCGGCUAACUCCGUGCCAGCAGCCGCGGUAAUACGGAGGAUCCAAGCGUUAUCCGGAAUCAUUGGGUUUAAAGGGUCCGUAGGCGGUUUAAUAAGUCAGUGGUGAAAGCCCAUCGCUUAACGAUGGAACGGCCAUUGAUACUGUUAGACUUGAAUUAUUAGGAAGUAACUAGAAUAUGUAGUGUAGCGGUGAAAUGCUUAGAUAUUACAUGGAAUACCAAUUGCGAAGGCAGGUUACUACUAAUAUAUUGACGCUGAUGGACGAAAGCGUGGGGAGCGAACAGGAUUAGAUACCCUGGUAGUCCACGCCGUAAACGAUGGAUACUAGCUGUUGGGCGCAAGCUCAGUGGCUAAGCGAAAGUGAUAAGUAUCC